rnacentral:rRNA from 1 species
GACGAACGCUGGCGGCGUGCCUAACACAUGCAAGUCGAACGGAACUUCUUUAAAGGAUUUCUUCGGAAUGAAUUUGAUUAAGUUUAGUGGCGGACGGGUGAGUAACGCGUGAGUAACCUGCCUCUAAGAGGGGAAUAACAUUCUGAAAAGAAUGCUAAUACCGCAUAACAUAUAUUUAUCGCAUGGUAGAUAUAUCAAAGAUUUAUCGCUUAGAGAUGGACUCGCGUCCGAUUAGUUAGUUGGUGAGGUAACGGCUCACCAAGACCGCGAUCGGUAGCCGGACUGAGAGGUUGAACGGCCACAUUGGGACUGAGACACGGCCCAGACUCCUACGGGAGGCAGCAGUGGGGGAUAUUGCGCAAUGGGGGAAACCCUGACGCAGCAACGCCGCGUGAAGGAUGAAGGUCUUCGGAUUGUAAACUUCUUUUAUUAAGGACGAAGAAAGUGACGGU